CAUUGAUGAUUAUUUCAGAAGAGAAGUCCUUCGUUAAUUGGACAUUACGAGCGUUUGGAUUUCAUCGUAUCAUCGAAAUUGGUUUACUAAUUAGAUUAUUCAAUAUAGACUUAUAUCGAUAAUAGACUCAACAAUUCCGCGAUGCAUAGUAAUUGUUGGUACUGUUUAAUGAGAGAUAUUGCGACGUUUAAUUAUAGAAAAUAAAUAUUAUCUUAGUAAUAGCAGUAAAACGAUCGAAAGGCACGUUACGUUGGAGCUCUUUUAGAAAACAAUUAAAUAGUAUCAAAUUUACGAAACGUUUAUGAAACGUUUUAAAAUAGUUCAGUUUACUGAAUUUAAAAAUGAUUUUAAUAAGCUGCAUGGAUAUAUAAUUACCAUAUUUGGAAACACGUUUUGCCAAAAAUAAAAAUGAUUGACUAUAGAUUUUAUGACAUUAAAGUAUAAUAUUUAUUGAGAUAGAAUAUGAAUAAAGUAAACCUUUAGAAUCAAUAGAUUAAGAGAUUGGUAAGUAUGCGUGUUAAUAACCUACGUUACUUUGCGCAAUAAAGUUUCUAUUUUAUAUGAAAUUUGAGUGCAACGCGAUUCUGAAACAUAAGUUUGACAUUUUUAUCUAGCAGCCGCUUCAUAAACGAUGAAAUCAUCACAGCAUAUACGCCCUUUUGGAGGUUACGGAUUCUGACAGUGAUGGAAAUGAUAUGACCUUUAUGUAAAAUAAAUUUACAAGAUUGUUCCAAUA